rnacentral:lncRNA from 1 species
GACGGUAGAGUUCAUUAGAAAAGUUUGUUUUUGAAGUUAUAUCAGAGGCGAUGGAGGUAUAUAAAAGAAUUGCACGUCAUGUGAGAGAGGUCAAUGAAUUUUACAUAAAUAUAUCAUAUAGAGAGUAUUAUUUUAUAAAAUAAAUUAUAUAAAAAUUGUUCUUUUGUAAUCCACUUCUUUUGAUAUGAGAGAUUCAUUGAGUAUCCAUGUGCUCCUUCAAUCGAUCCAAUUCUGUCUGUGUAUCUAGCCAACAACAUUCCACAUGUACCCUUACAAAGUAGAGCUUCUUUUUUUUUUUUUUGAACAACAGUAGAGCUUCUAUAAUUCGUUUUUAAAAUAAACACAAAAUUGAGGCAAUAGAAAAUAUGAUCAUAGUAAUAUAUGCAUACAUAUAUAUAUAGAUCAAAUUUAAUUAACAUACAAGGUUAUUUAUUUAGCAAAACAAAAGCAAUGUUAUUUAGCAGGCCAAUAAUAUUUUUCCUCAAGUACAGCAUAUAUAAUCCUUGCUAGUAAAAACAGAACAUUUACAGUUUCACUUCGGUUUUGGAAUAUGUGAAUCUCAAGUUUGUCAAAAUUAGCUAGAAUUAGCUAAAAGUAGAACAAUGAUAU